AACGAACGCUGGCGGCAUGCCUAACACAUGCAAGUCGAACGAGACCUUCGGGUCUAGUGGCGCACGGGUGCGUAACGCGUGGGAACCUGCCCUUAGGUUCGGAAUAACUCCCCGAAAGGGGUGCUAAUACCGGAUAAUGUCUUCGGACCAAAGAUUUCUCGCCUUUGGAUGGGCCCGCGUUGGAUUAGCUAGUUGGUAGGGUAAAAGCCUACCAAGGCGACGAUCCAUAGCUGGUCUGAGAGGAUGAUCAGCCACACUGGGACUGAGACACGGCCCAGACUCCUACGGGAGGCAGCAGUGGGGAAUAUUGGACAAGGGGCGAAAGCGUGAUCCAGCAAUGCCGCGUGAGUGAUGAAGGCCUUAGGGUUGUAAAGCUCUUUUACCCGGGAUGAUAAUGACAGUACCGGGAGAAUAAGCGCCGGCUAACUCCGUG
rnacentral:rRNA from 1 species